AUUGCCCUAGUAACGGCGAGUGAAGCGGCAACAGCUCAAAUUUGAAAUCUGGCCUUCGGGUCCGAGUUGUAAUUUGUAGAGGAUGCUUUUGGUGAGGUGCCUUCCGAGUUCCCUGGAACGGGACGCCAUAGAGGGUGAGAGCCCCGUCUGGUUGGACACCGAUCCUCUGUAAAGCUCCUUCAACGAGUCGAGUAGUUUGGGAAUGCUGCUCUAAAUGGGAGGUAUAUGUCUUCUAAAGCUAAAUAUUGGCCAGAGACCGAUAGCGCACAAGUAGAGUGAUCGAAAGAUGAAAAGCACUUUGAAAAGAGAGUUAAAAAGUACGUGAAAUUGUUGAAAGGGAAGCGCUCAUGACCAGACUUGGGCUUGGUUGAUCAUCCAGGGUUCUCCCUGGUGCACUCUUCCAGUUCAGGCCAGCAUCAGUUCGCUGCGGGGGAUAAAGGCUUUGGGAAUGUGGCUCCCUCGGGAGUGUUAUAGCCCAUUGCGUAAUACCCUGUGGUGGACUGAGGACCGCGCUUCGGCAAGGAUGCUGGCGUAAUGGUCAUCAGUGACCCGUCUUGAAACACGGACCAAGGAGUCGUCUUCGUAUGCGAGUGUUCGGGUGUUAAACCCCUACGCGUAAUGAAAGUGAACGCAGGUGAGAGCUUCGGCGCAUCAUCGACCGAUCCUGAUGUUCUCGGAUGGAUUUGAGUAAGAGCAUACGGGGCCGGACCCGAAAGAAGGUGAACUAUGCCUGUAUAGGGUGAAGCCAGAGGAAACUCUGGUGGAGGCUCGCAGCGGUUCUGACGUGCAAAUCGAUCGUCAAAUAUGGGCAUGGGGGCGAAAGACUAAUCGAACCUUCUAGUAGCUGGUUUCCGCCGA
rnacentral:rRNA from 1 species